rnacentral:lncRNA from 1 species
AGGCCCGGGCCCGGGCCGUUCCGCCGCCGCUCCGCCCCUGAGCGCCGGGCGCCCAAAGGCUGCCGGAGCGCUCGUGUCGCGGCAGUCCUCGUUGCCGGGGCUGGCGCGGCCCCUUCGGCGGGGGCUGAGCGGCUUUAUCUGCGCGCCUCGGAAGUGGCCACGGGCUCUGGCUGGCUGAAGAGACCACACUUACCAAGAAGAACAGACAUCUCUAUGUAAACAGAGGCUUUGGAGCAAAGAGUUCUGGCUACGUUAGUCUUUGGAAUACCUGAAAAUACACUGGAACAUACAGAAAUGAAGGAACAGACCCUCAAUGAGUCUUUUCAACACCUGAAGGAAGUCCAGUGGGAAGAAACUGGGAUCAGAAAGGCUGUCUUUAAAGGAGGCUGUGUUCUGUCAUCAGUGAGUACUUGUGAACAGACCUGGCUGUAUCUAUGUAUUUGGGAGCAUAAUGGAAAACUAUUUGACUGCCAAAUUCCCAUACAAUACCAGAAAGGGAGAAGAGAGGGGAAUCCCCUCGUACUGUUUCAGCCUAUUGGAUGUGCUGCUGUGCAUCGUUCAGGUUUGUGAACCAAGUUAGAGAGAGAGAGAGAAGAAAAAGGAGAAAAAAAAAGAAAAAAAGAAACACCUUUCUGACCCAAUAUUGAAGAGCAUGGUGGAUGUGCUUCUAAGGCUAAGGUAGUGUUGCAGGAAGCAGCUGAGAGCAGUCAAUAGCCCAGUGUUCCAGUCAUGCCAAGACAGGAAGAGGAGGACUAGCUACUGAGAUUCCUUAGAGAGUGGAGAAAGAGGAAGAGAAUCCUGAUGGGAGGAGUAGUGCAACCCCAAGAUGAUUAUAUGGGUACUAU